rnacentral:rRNA from 1 species
AAAUGCACAUGCUGUGAGCUCGAUGAGUAGGGCGGGACACGUGGUAUCCUGUCUGAAUAUGGGGGGACCAUCCUCCAAGGCUAAAUACUCCUGACUGACCGAUAGUGAACCAGUACCGUGAGGGAAAGGCGAAAAGAACCCCGGCGAGGGGAGUGAAAAAGAACCUGAAACCGUGUACGUACAAGCAGUGGGAGCCUCUUUAUGGGGUGACUGCGUACCUUUUGUAUAAUGGGUCAGCGACUUAUAUUCUGUAGCAAGGUUAACCGAAUAGGGGAGCCGAAGGGAAACCGAGUCUUAACUGGGCGUUAAGUUGCAGGGUAUAGACCCGAAACCCGGUGAUCUAGCCAUGGGCAGGUUGAAGGUUGGGUAACACUAACUGGAGGACCGAACCGACUAAUGUUGAAAAAUUAGCGGAUGACUUGUGGCUGGGGGUGAAAGGCCAAUCAAACCGGGAGAUAGCUGGUUCUCCCCGAAAGCUAUUUAGGUAGCGCCUCGUGAAUUCAUCUCCGGGGGUAGAGCACUGUUUCGGCAAGGGGGUCAUCCCGACUUACCAACCCGAUGCAAACUGCGAAUACCGGAGAAUGUUAUCACGGGAGACACACGGCGGGUGCUAACGUCCGUCGUGAAGAGGGAAACAACCCAGACCGCCAGCUAAGGUCCCAAAGUCAUGGUUAAGUGGGAAACGAUGUGGGAAGGCCCAGACAGCCAGGAUGUUGGCUUAGAAGCAGCCAUCAUUUAAAGAAAGCGUAAUAGCUCACUGGUCGAGUCGGCCUGCGCGGAAGAUGUAACGGGGCUAAACCAUGCACCGAAGCUGCGGCAGCGACACUAUGUGUUGUUGGGUAGGGGAGCGUUCUGUAAGCCUGUGAAGGUGUACUGUGAGGUAUGCUGGAGGUAUCAGAAGUGCGAAUGCUGACAUAAGUAACGAUAAAGCGGGUGAAAAGCCCGCUCGCCGGAAGACCAAGGGUUCCUGUCCAACGUUAAUCGGGGCAGGGUGAGUCGACCCCUAAGGCGAGGCCGAAAGGCGUAGUCGAUGGGAAACAGGUUAAUAUUCCUGUACUUGGUGUUACUGCGAAGGGGGGACGGAGA